rnacentral:snRNA from 1 species
AAGCAUAUAGCUGGAUCUGGAUUUAGCUAGGUGUUUGUCCCUUUUGUCUCUCACCCUUUCCCUCCCAAAGCUGCACACUUGAUCAAAGAGGAUGAUCUUUCCUAAAUCGAGGAGGACCAUCUUCACACAAGGGUAUAUGAGUAUCUGUGCUCCCCUGCGAGGACACUUAAAUAAGCUCUCGAUUUCAUUAAUAGAAACAAGCCUAUGAAAAUUAUCCACUGAGUCUUGUUUUGGUAGAUUGUGGAAUUUUAAGGAAUAAGUUCAC